GACGAACGCUGGCGGCGUGCUUAACACAUGCAAGUCGAUCGGAAAGGCCCUGCUUUUGUGGGGUGCUCGAGUGGCGAACGGGUGAGUAACACGUGAGUAACCUACCCUUGACUUUGGGAUAACUUCAGGAAACUGGGGCUAAUACCGGAUAGGAGCUCCUGCUGCAUGGUGGGGGUUGGAAAGUUUCGGCGGUUGGGGAUGGACUCGCGGCUUAUCAGCUUGUUGGUGGGGUAGUGGCUUACCAAGGCUUUGACGGGUAGCCGGCCUGAGAGGGUGACCGGCCACAUUGGGACUGAGAUACGGCCCAGACUCCUACGGGAGGCAGCAGUGGGGAAUAUUGCACAAUGGGCGGAAGCCUGAUGCAGCAACGCCGCGUGCGGGAUGACGGCCUUCGGGUUGUAAACCGCUUUCGCCUGUGACGAAGCGUGAGUGACGGUAAUGGGUAAAGAAGCACCGGCUAACUACGUG
rnacentral:rRNA from 1 species